UGGAUCACUGAAAUACUGGUCUUAGUUUUCCAGGUGUUACAAAACAUUUUUCAAAACAGUUAUCAUUUUGUUCUUAACUGUCAUGCAAAAUUGAGCUUGAAUUUAAAUGAAUAUGAGAAGAAAAAAUAUGUAGUCAAGUUUUUCCUACUUCAGUCAGUCAAGUGUCUUAUGUCUUUGUGACAUUAAAUAAGGGACAGACAUAUAUCACAUCUUAGCUCCCAUGAAUUUUAAAUGUGCUUUUUAAACAUGAAGUGACUAAACUUCUACAUUUUCAAUCCUAUCCUAAAACAUGACUUUACCUUCUUCAGCUAGAAAUGGAUCUGCAGCACCUGUGUUUAACCAUUCAGCAGUAACAGAACCAGAGGCAAUGGGCACAGACUGAAGCAGGGGAGAUUCCCUCUAAAUAGUCCACAGAAGUAAAACUUGGCAAUACUGGAAAGCACUAUGUCUACAUUUUUCUGAAGACACUUGGAGCUGCUAUGAAAGGUCAUUUUUUUGUUGCAGUACUUCGAUUUUCUGACAGGACUUCAAGGUAAGCACUAUAAUUUGCCUGAAAUGUCACUAAGGAAGAAGAAUUUCUGAUAAAUAAAGAGUUUUCACAGGAUGUUCUUAUACAAUCACUGAAGAAUCACCUAUGUGUACUUGGAAGUAUAUAUGAUCAGAUAUUAUACUUGUUUAUGAUGGAUUUUUGGAGUAGGCAAACAGGUUUUAAUUAUUCCUCAUAACACUGAAAAUGCCACUAAAGGUGAAAGUCCUUCUUCCAGUUAUCCCUUGUGGGGUCUUAGACAUAUGUUCUUAUAUUCUAGCUGUCUACACAGUGGAGAGCUUUAUUUUAUUGACCCACAUUUGGUCAUCAUACUUCAAAGUCUUCAAUCCUUUUAUACAGUGAGAAAAUCUUUUAUGCACUAUGACAAAACAAAAAAGAAAACCAAAAAAAAAAAACAACCAAGGAAAGUUUCAGAAUAAAAAUAAUCACAGAGGCUUAACUUCAUGGAGAAUGCCAUAGAAAAUGGGUUUGUUCUGGUUUUCCAUCAGGAACAAUUAAUCUACCAGACCUACACUUAAUCUGCAAGGAGACAACAGGAAUAAUGUAACUGAGAUGCACUAGAACAGUUUCAAAAAUUAUAUUCACUCUAAUAAAAGGGAACAAAUUAUUUUUCCUUUUACAAAUGAGAAGUUAAAAGGUAUGGGCAUGUUAAAAGAACAGAGAAGAUCUGAGACAUGGAACAAAGAUUAUCUAAGAGCUUAUCAAUGGGUGAAACUGAAUUUAUUGUGUUGUUUAAUUCAAAAUGUGUG